AUAAGGUAAUAAGGGCAUACGGUGGAUGCCUUGGUACCAACAGCCGAAGAAGGACGUGGCAAGCUGCGAGAAGCUGCGGCGAGGCGCAAGCGGCCUUUGACCCGCAGAUGUCCGAAUGGGGCAACCCACCUGGAGUAGUCCAGGUAUCCCGUAAGGGAAGGAACCCGGAGAAGUGAAACAUCUCAGUAUCCGGAGGAAGAGAAAUCGAAGAGAUUCCCUAAGUAGUGGUGAGCGAACGGGGAAGAGCCUAAACCAUAUACAUGUAAGGCUGCGGUCGUUGUGUAUAUGGUGUAGAGGGGCUUUUCAUGCAUAGUCCGCAGGCUAGGCACGGAGUUAUCAAGAUACUUUUUAGCAGAACUGUGUUGGGAAAGCAGGCCAUAGACGGUGAGAGCCCGGUAUGCGACAGAGAGUAUCCUCCGAGAAGAGUUCCCGAGUAGGCCGGAGCACGUGGAAUUCCGGUUGAAUCAGGGUGGACCAUCAUCCAAGGCUAAAUACUGUUGGUGACCGAUAGUGGAUGAGUACCGAGAGGGAAGGGUGAAAAGCACCCCUGGCGGGGAGUGAAAUAGACCUGAACCCGUAUGCCUACAAGCAAUCGGAGCAAGAGAUGCCGCGAGGCAUUGAAUGUGACGGUGUGCCUUUUGUAAAAUGAGCCGGCGAGUUAUUAGACGUAGCGAGGUUAAGGUGCGUAUGUGCACUGGAGCCGUAGGGAAACCGAGUCUGAAUAGGGCGCAAGUUUCGUUUAAUAGACCCGAAGCCGCACGAUCUAUCCAUGGCCAGGUUGAAGUCCGGGUGAAGCCGGAUGGAGGACCGAACCAGUUUCUGUUGAAAAAGAUUUGGAUGAGCUGUGGAUCGGAGUGAAAAGCUAAUCGAGUGCGGUGAUAGCUGGUUCUCCCCGAUAUGCAUUGAGGUGCAGCCUUACGGAAUUGAGAUAUGGGGGUAGAGCACUGGAUGGACGCGGGGGACUGGGGUCCUACCAAAUUCAACCAAACUUCGAAUACCAUAUUUUGUACCGUAGGAGUGAGACUACGGGUGAGAAGGUCCGUGGUCGUGAGGGAAACAGCCCAGACCGUCAGCUAAGGUCCCAAAGCGUAUGCUAAGUGUGGCAAGGAUGUGAGAGUGCCUGGACAGCCAGGAGGUUGGCUUAGAAGCAGCCACCCUUUAAAGAGUGCGUAACAGCUCACUGGUCGAGGACUUUUGCGCCGAGAAUGUAGGGGGCUAAGCAUACUGCCGAAGCUGCGGGAUAUGUGCAAGAGUGUAUAUAUCGGUAGGGGAGCGUUCCAUACGGGGCGAAGCAGAGCCGCGAGGUCAUGUGGACUGUAUGGAAGUGAGAAUGCUGGCAUGAGUAACGCGAAGUGCGUGAGAAACGUACUCACCGGAAGCCCAAGGGUUCCUGGGGAAGGUUCAUCCGCCCAGGGUUAGGCGGGACCUAAGGCGAGGCCGAGAGGCGUAGUCGAUGGAUAGCAGGUAGAUAUUCCUGUCCCAGCCAAUGAGCGUUAAUACCGAAGGGGUGACACAGAAAGCUAGGUGAUCCGGGUGAUGGAAGUCCCGGUCCAAGGGUGUAGGGAGUUUCCGCAGGCAAAUCCGCGGGAAUAAUUCUGAGACCUGAUGGGGAGGCCCUACGGGGUCGAAGUCAUUGAAGCUCGGCUGUCGAGAAAAGCCUCUAGGGAGUUUGUUGGUUGCUCGUACCCGAAACCGACACAGGUGGGCUAGCUGAGGAAGCUAAGGUGAGCGGGAAAACCCUCGUUAAGGAACUCUGCAAGUUGACCCCGUAACUUCGGGAGAAGGGGUGCCACUCUGGUGAAAUAUAAUCAUAUGGAGCUAAGGGUGGUCGCAGAAACCAGGCUCAGGCGACUGUUUACUAAAAACACAGGUCUCUGCAUAAGGCGUAAGCCGAAGUAUAGGGACUGACACCUGCCCGGUGCUGGAAGGUUAAAUGGAGAGGUUAGCGUAAGCGAAGCCUUGAUAUGAAGCCCCAGUAAACGGCGGCCGUAACUAUAACGGUCCUAAGGUAGCGAAAUUCCUUGUCGGGUAAGUUCCGACCUGCACGAAUGGUGUAACGAUCUGAGCACUGUCUCAACGAGGGACCCGGUGAAAUUGUGGUACUGGUAAAGACGCCAGUUACCUGUGGUGGGACGGAAAGACCCCGUGGAGCUUUACUGUAGCCUGAUAUUGGAUUUUGGUCUGUCAUGUACAGGAUAGGUGGGAGGC
rnacentral:rRNA from 1 species